rnacentral:rRNA from 1 species
AGCAACGCCGCGUGAGGGAAGAAGGUUUUCGGAUUGUAAACCUCUGUCCUGGGGGACGAAGGAAGUGACGGUACCCCGGAGGAAGCCCCGGCUAACUACGUGCC